UAUGGCCACAUGCAACCAUGCGUGCACCCAGAUCUCGUCUGAUCUCGGAAGCCGGGCAGGGUUGGGGCUGGUCAGUACUUGGGUGGGAAAAAUGGAGCCAACUCAUCUCCCACCUGGGAAAAGGGGCCAUGA
rnacentral:rRNA from 1 species